rnacentral:rRNA from 1 species
UGCGUAACGCGUAUGCAACCUACCUUUUACUGGGGGAUAGCCCGGAGAAAUCUGGAUUAAUACCCCAUGGUAUCUACGAGUCGAAUGUUUUGUAGCUUAAAGAUUUAUCGGUAAAAGAUGGGCAUGCGUCUGAUUAGCUAGUUGGCGGGGUAACGGCCCACCAAGGCGACGAUCAGUAGGGGUUCUGAGAGGAAGGUCCCCCACACUGGCACUGAGAUACGGGCCAGACUCCUACGGGAGGCAGCAGUAGGGAAUAUUGGGCAAUGGUCGCAAGACUGACCCAGCCAUGCCGCGUGCAGGAAGACGGCCCUCUGGGUUGUAAACUGCUUUUAUCUGGGAAGAAAAAGUCCAUGCGUGGAAAAUUGCCGGUACCAGAUGAAUAAGCACCGGCUAACUCCGUGCCAGCAGCCGCGGUAAUACGGAGGGUGCAAGCGUUGUCCGGAUUUAUUGGGUUUAAAGGGUGCGUAGGCGGCUGAAUAAGUCAGCGGUGAAAGACUUCGGCUUAACCGGAGCAGUGCCGUUGAUACUGUUUAGCUUGAGUGUUGGAGGGGUACAUGGAAUUGAUGGUGUAGCGGUGAAAUGCAUAGAUACCAUCAGGAACACCGAUAGCGAAGGCAUUGUACUGGCCAACAACUGACGCUGAGGCACGAAAGUGUGGGGAUCGAACAGGAUUAGAUACCCUGGUAGUCCACACUGUAAACGAUGAUUACUCGCUGUUAUGGUGUAUGCUGUAGCGGCCAAGCGAAAGCGUU